CAUGUGGGCACAGCGAACU
rnacentral:piRNA from 1 species